rnacentral:rRNA from 1 species
AGUGAACGCUGGCGGCAGGCCUAACACAUGCAAGUCGAACGGCAGCACAGGAGAGCUUGCUCUCUGGGUGGCGAGUGGCGGACGGGUGAGGAAUACAUGGGAAUCUACCCUGUCGUGGGGGAUAACGUAGGGAAACUUACGCUAAUACCGCAUACGACCGAGAGGUGAAAGCGGCGGACCGCAAGGCGUCGCGCGACUGGAUGAGCCCAUGUCGGAUUAGCUUGUUGGCGGGGUAACGGCCCACCAAGGCGACGAUCCGUAGCUGGUCUGAGAGGAUGAUCAGCCACACUGGAACUGAGACACGGUCCAGACUCCUACGGGAGGCAGCAGUGGGGAAUAUUGGACAAUGGGCGCAAGCCUGAUCCAGCCAUGCCGCGUGUGUGAAGAAGGCCUUCGGGUUGUAAAGCACUUUUGUCCGGAAAGAAAAGUUCUCGGUUAAUACCCGGGGAUCCUGACGGUACCGGAAGAAUAAGCACCGGCUAACUUCGUGCCAGCAGCCGCGGUAAUACGAAGGGUGCAAGCGUUACUCGGAAUUACUGGGCGUAAAGCGUGCGUAGGUGGUUUGUUAAGUCUGAUGUGAAAGCCCUGGGCUCAACCUGGGAAUGGCAUUGGAUACUGGCGAGCUAGAGUGCGGUAGAGGGUAGUGGAAUUCCCGGUGUAGCAGUGAAAUGCGUAGAGAUCGGGAGGAACAUCUGUGGCGAAGGCGACUACCUGGACCAGCGCUGACACUGAGGCACGAAAGCGUGGGGAGCAAACAGGAUUAGACACCCUGGUAGUCCACGCCCUAAACGAUGCGAACUGGAUGUUGGGAGCAAUUAGGCUCUCAGUAUCGAAGCUAACGCGUUAAGUUCGCCGCCUGGGGAGUACGGUCGCAAGACUGAAACUCAAAGGAAUUGACGGGGGCCCGCACAAGCGGUGGAGUAUGUGGUUUAAUUCGAUGCAACGCGAAGAACCUUACCUGGCCUUGACAUCCACGGAAUCCUUCAGAGAUGAGGGAGUGCCUUCGGGAACCGUGAGACAGGUGCUGCAUGGCUGUCGUCAGCUCG